ACCUUUCAAAUCAGGGUGCGGCGCGGCCCCCGAGGAGCGGAAACAAUCCUUGGGAGGUAUGCGGGGGCUUCGAGCCCCCCAUUUACGCACGCACGACUGCCAUCCUUACUUUACGAGCACCUUCUGUUCUCCCUCGGCGGGGGCAACCUGCCGUUGGAACCGAAUAAACUCUUUUUGCAUCUAGCAUUACCUGUUCCGAAACAAACAAUCGUUA
rnacentral:misc_RNA from 1 species